rnacentral:ncRNA from 1 species
GAUAACUGGCUUGUGGCAGCCAAGCAUUCAUAGUGAUGUUGCUUUUCAGCUUUUCAUAUCACUGUGAAGCAGAAUUCAUCAAGUGUUUUUCCACUCACUAAUAGGGAAAUUCAGCUGGGAUUAGGCUGUUGUGAGAUAGGUU